CUCUUCUUUUACUUUUUCUUGGAGGAAAGCGAAGGGAGAGAAAUGGACUUCACCAGUGUUCUUUGGCUUCAGCAAUUCACAGGAAAUGGCAUCAAGAUAGUUCAACUAAGACAUGGGCACUAAAAAUAUUAUAAAAAUACCUUUUUGAAAAACUCAGUUUCUCCUGUUUAGUAAAUAUUUAUUUCAUCAACACGGGCUGCGUUCCACUGUGUCAGGAUUCUGCAUGUGCAUGGAGCACUGUUCCAGCCUGAGAAGAUGGUUCUGAGGCCACUUAGCAAGACAUUUUCCAGCAUGAGCAGGUUUCUCUGUGGAAAUAGUGACACCCUGUUCUGGUGUGUUGUCUUUCCUCGGGGAACUUAGGAGGUACAAAGCUCCUGAAAAUGUUCUUUAUGCUGGUUGAAGUUCUUAUGUCACUAUACUGAUUCCCUAUGAUGCAGAUUUGAAUCACAGAGUAAUUAAAACAUGGAUCAAGUAAGCCUGGGGUUCACCAAGGCUGAAAGCUGUAGCCAUUCAAAGCAUCAUUUCUGUCAUGAAAAUAUAGGACCUUUUCAAAACAUGCCUUCAGAAUGGUGUUCCCUUUUCAAACAAAAGUCUAAUGACUGCAUAACUCUUCUUGACCACAUCUUACAUUUUCUCUAGAUUUGCUUAUUUACAGCUACUGGAACAAAAAGAUGAGACGAAGAAAGCACACUGAUUGUCCUAAGAGUCUUCUGUGACUAAAAGCACAUGAGCUUCUCCCCAGGCUGAGCUUUGACCCUCCCAAGCAUUUCCCCAAAGGCCAUGACACUGCAUCGGAUUGCUUCUGGACGCUUUCCUCAGAGUUUUCAACCAAUAUAAACCGAAGAAUGGAACACAGCACCAGAUUUGCUAAUCAAGAGGCAAUGGUCCCAGUCCAAAUGGUGCUGUGUGUGAAUACAGAGCCCAGGAGAAGGGAAGGAGGUACAUGAACAUCAGGAGUUGCAAAAUCUUGCUGAAUCAAUAGACCAACAGCCAUUAACAUUUGUCAGUGCAAAGAUCCUAAAAUAUGCAAGUGUGGAUUUGUCCUGCUGUAAGAACUGAAGCUGUGACAAUCACACUGCCAUGGACAUUUAAGCUCCUCUGAGGUUACUGAAUCUAACAGUGAAUAAACAAUGAAGAGUAGCUAA